GACGAACGCUGGCGGCGUGCCUAAUACAUGCAAGUAGAACGCAGUUGCGAACGGGUGAGUAACGCGUAGGUAACUGCCUCAUAGCGGGGGAUAAACAUUGGGAACGAUAGCUAAUACCGCAUACUGUGAGAUGGACCUGCGUUGUAUUAGUUAGGUUGAGGGGUAAAGGCUCACCAAGGCGACGAUACCUAGCCGACCUGAGCGGGUUGACGGCCACACGGUGACCUGGGCACGGGCCCAACUCCUACGGGAGGCAACAGUAGGGAAUCGUUGGCCAUUGGGGGCAGUCUUGCCGAGCAACGCCGGGUGAGUGAAGGAGGGUUUCGGAUCUGUAAGCUCUGUUGUUAGGGAAGCGGUAACUGACCAGAAAGGGACGGCUAACUACGUGCCAGCAGCCGCGGUAAUAC
rnacentral:rRNA from 1 species